CUCAGAGAUCAAGUCAUUGUUUUGAUGGCAGUGGACUUGUUUUUGAGUCCCGGGAGUCCUCCUUCCCUGGCUCUAAAGUGGCGGUCUUGCGGCCCAUGUUGAACCAAGAACAUGAUAAUGUAGCACUCACUGUUCUGAGGUUCCUAACUGAGGCUAGCCUUAAACUUCUAAAA
rnacentral:misc_RNA from 1 species